rnacentral:rRNA from 1 species
UACGUAGGGUGCAAGCGUUAAUCGGAAUUACUGGGCGUAAAGCGUGCGCAGGCGGUGAUGUAAGACAGGUGUGAAAUCCCCGGGCUUAACCUGGGAACUGCAUUUGUGACUGCAUCGCUGGAGUGCGGCAGAGGGGGACGGAAUUCCGCGUGUAGCAGUGAAAUGCGUAGAUAUCUGGAGGAACACCGGUGGCGAAGGCGGCAUCCUGGACCAACACUGACGCUGAGGAGCGAAAGCCAGGGGAGCAAACGGG